UACAGAGGAGCCAAGCGUUGUCCGGAUUGACUGGGCGUAAAGAGCGCGCAGGCGGUCGUUCAAGUCGCGUGUGAAAGCCCUUGGCUCAACUGGGGAGGGUCACGCGAUACUGAUUGACUCGAAGGCAGGAGAGGGAAGUGGAAUUCCCGGUGUAGUGGUGAAAUGCGUAGAUAUCGGGAGGAACACCAGUGGCGAAGGCGGCUAUCUGGACGGUUUCUGACGCUAAGACGCGAAAGCGUGGGGAGCAAACAGG
rnacentral:rRNA from 1 species